GACGAACGCUGGCGGCGUGCUUAACACAUGCAAGUCGUACGGUAAGGCCCUUUCGGGGGUACACGAGUGGCGAACGGGUGAGUAACACGUGAGUAACCUGCCCACAACUUUGGGAUAACGCUAGGAAACUGGUGCUAAUACUGGAUAUGUGCUCCUGCUGCAUGGUGGGGGUUGGAAAGCUCCGGCGGUUGUGGAUGGACUCGCGGCCUAUCAGCUUGUUGGUGGGGUAGUGGCCUACCAAGGCGGCGUCGGGUAGCCGGCCUGAGAGGGUGACCGGCCACAUUGGGACUGAGAUACGGCCCAGACUCCGACGGGAGGCAGCAGUGGGGAAUAUUGCACAAUGGGCGCAAGCCUGAUGCAGCAACGCCGCGUGCGGGAUAACGGCCUUCGGGUUGUAAACCGCUUUCAGCAGGGACGAAGCUUUUUGUGACGGUACCUGCAGAAGAAGCACCGGCUAACUACGUG
rnacentral:rRNA from 1 species